AUUAAGCAAACGACGACGGCGAGAAGCAGGAAGCUUCCGGCGUAGAGUUUAAGCUAGAGAAAUGGCGGGGAUCGUGAUAGUAUUCGACUUCGAUCGGACAUUGAUAGACGGAGAUAGUGACAACUGGGCUGUAACAGAGAUGGGGCUCACAGAGAUCUUCCAUCAGCUCCGCUUCACUUUACCAUGGAAUCGCCUCAUGGAUGAUGAUGGAGCUUCCUUCACUCGCAAGGUAGAUCGAUUCUCAUAUUGUUGAAGCUAUCAACGCAGCCAAUUCUUUAGGAUGUGAUUUGAAGAUUAUGAGGUGCAAACCAGUUUUUCUGAGAAGAUACUAGACCAUCAUAAUCUGUUGGGAUGUUUCUCAGAUAUUUAGACAAACCUAACCUCUGUUGAUGAAAACGGGAAGUUACGGAUCUCACCAUACCAUGGUGGUGCUGCAUCAACUCCACAUAGCUGCAAUCUCUGCCCUCCAUCUCUGCUUAGUUACCUACACUUGCAACUUCUUAUUCUAGUCUGAGUCCUCCAUAAGCUGAAAUCUUUUAAUCCUGAAGUUCCCGUAUAUGGAAAGACUUGUACUUUGUUAAAGUUUGGCAUGUGUUUUGAAAACUUUGACGUCUAAGGCUGUCUAUGUGAGUUACUUGCUGCAUCUAGUUUGAUAACAUUCUGAGUAGUGAAUCUUCAUUUGUUUCCUCGGGGUUUGGCAAUGGACCAUAUACGUGCUUCUUCACCCAACGAUCAGAUUCUAACAGGUUUACCAUGGAGGAGGUGACUUCUGUCCGACAUUACUGCUGAGAUAGUGUGAU